rnacentral:lncRNA from 1 species
UGGAACAUAAAUUUGUACUUGACCUAAUUAAGUUGGGCAUACUUUUCAUUCAUGUUCUUAUGUGUCCAUGAAUCGUCCAAAGAAUUAACAAGAUGAUGACGCAUAUUCUCAAGAGUUGAGAAUUUGAGGCAUGUGUCAUUGGUGAUUAAUUCCUGAAUUGCUCCUAAUCGAUGGAUCAUCACGAGGACGGUGAUUGAUCCGCUGGGAUUAGUGCACAUACUGCUUUCUUUGAUGGACGAGUCUUGAGUCCAUAGUGUAGAGACGCUGGAGCAAUUGUGCAAGUGCUUGUUAGAGAACAAGGUACUGAGCGUGACCAAGACAAAAAGUCACUUGGAUGUCUAUCCACUCGUCAGUGACUUGCUUGAUGUUGCAGUAGUAUGACUGGUCCUUUGACCUACAGUGCUUCGGCUACUCACAGUGAGG